CAGGAAAUAGUUUAAUAAAAAUAGUAGUUUUGGGGACUGAAGAAAGGAUGUUAGUCUUUUUCCUGA
rnacentral:tRNA from 1 species